CCAAUAGCGUAUAUUAAAGUUGCUGCAGUUAAAAAGCUCGUAGUUGAAUUUCGGGACCAAUCUGUCGGUCGUGCCUCGGUACGUACUGUCAUCGUUGGUUUCUCCCUUCUGACGAACCAUGAUGUCAUUUAUUUGGUGUCGUGGGGAAUCAGGACUGUUACUUUGAAAAAAUUAGAGUGUUUAAAGCAGGCUCACGCUUGAAUACAUUAGCAUGGAAUAAUGAAAUUGGACGUUUGAUUCUAUUUUGUUGGUUUCUAGGAUCGACGUAAUGAUUAAUAGGGAUAGUUGGGGGCAUUAGUAUUCAAUUGUCAGAGGUGAAAUUCUUGGAUUUAUUGAAGACUAACUACUGCGAAAGCAUUUGCCAAGGAUGUUUUCAUUAAUCAAGAACGAAAGUUAGGGGAUCGAAGACGAUCAGAUACCGUCGUAGUCUUAACCAUAAACUAUGCCGACUAGGGAUCGGAUGAUGUUAAUUUUUUAAUGACUCAUUCGGCGCCUUACG
rnacentral:rRNA from 1 species